AGCGUCCGUGCGGGGGAGCAGACGACACGGGGGACUUUCCUUCUCCGCAACAAAUCUCUCUUGGUUUGGUUUUUCACCUUAUUUCCGGCACCUGAAGGAAGCAAUCAUGUUCCGCAUGGCUGCCCCUCGCCUGGACGCCGCCGAGGAGAAGAGGAGAGCCCUGGAGGAGGAUAAACUGGCCAGGAAGAUCGUCUAUUCGAAUUUCGGGACCUUCGUCGUGACCAUAAUGCUCAUCAAAGCAGCUCCAUAUCUUAUAGAGAAAUUUUCUUAAUGAAGAGGUGCAGCAAGGAGAAACGGCUUACAGAUGUUUUAUAAGAGAAAUAAAUACUGGGGCAGUACUGAUUGUUUUUAAGCAAACGUACUUUUGUAAUAAAUGAAUAAAUAAAUAUGUUGAU